rnacentral:rRNA from 1 species
CAGCAGCCGCGGUAAUACGGAGGAUCCAAGCGUUAUCCGGAUUUAUUGGGUUUAAAGGGUGCGUAGGCGGAUUAAUAAGUCAGUGGUGAAAGCCUGCAGCUUAACUGUAGAAUUGCCAUUGAAACUGUUAGUCUUGAGUUCAGUUGAGGUGGGCGGAAUGUGUCAUGUAGCGGUGAAAUGCUUAGAUAUGACACAGAACACCGAUUGCGAAGGCAGCUCGCUAAACUGACACUGACGCUGAGGCACGAAAGCGUGGGGAGCGAACAGGAUUAGAUACCCUGGUAGUCCACGCCCUAAACGAUGAUUACUCGAUGUGUGCAAUACACCGUACGCGCCUAAGCGAAAGCGUUAAGUAAUCCACCUGGGAAGUACGUUCGCAAGAAUGAAACUCAAAGGAAUUGACGGGGGCCCGCACAAGCGGAGGAGCAUGUGGUUUAAUUCGAUGAUACGCGAGGAACCUUACCUGGGCUUGAAAGUUAGUGAAUAACUUAGAAACAAGUUAGUCAGCAAUGACACGAAACUAGGUGCUGCAUGGUUGUCGUCAGCUCGUGCCGUGAGGUGUUGGGUUAAGUCCCGUAACGAGCGCAACCCCUAUCAUUAGUUACCAGCGAAUAAUGUCGGGAACUCUAGGGAGACUGCCCCGGAAAUCGGGGAGGAAGGUGGGGAUGACGUCAAGUCCUCAUGGCCCUUAUGUCAGGGGCUACACACGUGCUACAAUGGCGGGUACA